rnacentral:rRNA from 1 species
CCAAAAACAUCGCCUCUUGCAAAAUUAAUGAAUAAGAGGUCCCGCCUGCCCUGUGACUAUAUGUUUAACGGCCGCGGUAUUUUGACCGUGCGAAGGUAGCGCAAUCACUUGUCUUUUAAAUGGAGACCUGUAUGAAUGGCAUAACGAGGGCUUAGCUGUCUCCUCUUUCAAGUCAAUGAAAUUGAUCUCCCCGUGCAGAAGCGGGGAUAAUCUCGUAAGACGAGAAGACCCUAUGGAGCUUUAGACACCAAAGCAGAUCAUGUUAAACACCCUUAAAUAAAAGACUAAACAAGAUGAAACCUGCCCUAAUGUCUUUGGUUGGGGCGACCGCGGGGAAACACAAAACCCCCACGUGGAAUGGGACUACCCGUCCUACAGCCUAGAGCUCCCGCUCUAAGCAACAGAAUUUCUGACCAAUAAGAUCCGGCAAAGCCGAUCAACGGACCGAGUUACCCUAGGGAUAACAGCGCAAUCCUCUUUUAGAGCCCAUAUCGACAAGAGGGUUUACGACCUCGAUGUUGGAUCAGGACAUCCUAAUGGUGCAGCCGCUAUUAAGGGUUCGUUUGUUCAACGAUUAAAGUCCUACGUGAUCUGA